GCUGGCAUAGCUCAGUUGAAAGAGCGCCGCCCUCGUAAUGCGGAGGCCGCCUGUUCGAGCCAGGCUGCCAGCACCA
rnacentral:tRNA from 1 species